CGGCCAGUGCGGGUGCUAUACAUGCAAGUCGAGCGAACUGAAGGGAGCUUGCUCCCGGAAGUUAGCGGCGGACGGGUGAGUAACACGUGGGUAACCUGCCUGUAAGACUGGGAUAACUCCGGGAAACCGGAGCUAAUACCGGAUAUUUUCUUGAACCGCAUGGUUCAAGAAUGAAAGACGGUUUCGGCUGUCACUUACAGAUGGACCCGCGGCGCAUUAGCUAGUUGGUGAGGUAAUGGCUCACCAAGGCGACGAUGCGUAGCCGACCUGAGAGGGUGAUCGGCCACACUGGGACUGAGACACGGCCCAGACUCCUACGGGAGGCAGCAGUAGGGAAUCUUCCGCAAUGGACGAAAGUCUGACGGAGCAACGCCGCGUGAGUGAUGAAGGUUUUCGGAUCGUAAAGCUCUGUUGUUAGGGAAGAACAAGUACGAGAGUAACUGCUCGUACCUUGACGGUACCUAACCAGAAAGCCACGGCUAACUACGUGCCAGCAGCCGCGGUAAUACGUAGGUGGCAAGCGUUGUCCGGAAUUAUUGGGCGUAAAGGGCUCGCAGGCGGUUUCUUAAGUCUGAUGUGAAAGCCCCCGGCUCAACCGGGGAAGGUCAUUGGAAACUGGGGAACUUGAGUGCAGAAGAGGAGAGUGGAAUUCCACGUGUAGCGGUGAAAUGCGUAGAGAUGUGGAGGAACACCAGUGGCGAAGGCGACUCUCUGGUCUGUAACUGACGCUGAGGAGCGAAAGCGUGGGGAGCGAACAGGAUUAGAUACCCUGGUAGUCCACGCCGUAAACGAUGAGUGCUAAGUGUUAGGGGUUUCCGCCCCUUAGUGCUGCAGCUAACGCAUUAAGCACUCCGCCUGGGGAGUACGGUCGCAAGACUGAAACUCAAAGGAAUUGACGGGGGCCCGCACAAGCGGUGGAGCAUGUGUUUAAUUCGAAGCAACGCGAAGAACUUACCAGUCUUGACAUCUCUGACAACCUAGGAGAUAGGGCUUUCCUUCGGGAACGGAUGAACAGUGAUGCAUGCUGUCGUUCAGCUCGUGUCUGGGAGAAUGUGGUUAAGUUCCCGCACGAGCCGCAACCUUGA
rnacentral:rRNA from 1 species